rnacentral:rRNA from 3 species
AAAUUGAAGAGUUUGAUCAUGGCUCAGAUUGAACGCUGGCGGCAGGCCUAACACAUGCAAGUCGAACGGUAACAGGAAGCAGCUUGCUGCUUUGCUGACGAGUGGCGGACGGGUGAGUAAUGUCUGGGAAACUGCCCGAUGGAGGGGGAUAACUACUGGAAACGGUAGCUAAUACCGCAUAACGUCGCAAGACCAAAGAGGGGGACCUUAGGGCCUCUUGCCAUCGGAUGUGCCCAGAUGGGAUUAGCUAGUAGGUGGGGUAAUGGCUCACCUAGGCGACGAUCCCUAGCUGGUCUGAGAGGAUGACCAGCCACACUGGAACUGAGACACGGUCCAGACUCCUACGGGAGGCAGCAGUGGGGAAUAUUGCACAAUGGGCGCAAGCCUGAUGCAGCCAUGCCGCGUGUAUGAAGAAGGCCUUCGGGUUGUAAAGUACUUUCAGCGGGGAGGAAGGGAGUAAAGUUAAUACCUUUGCUCAUUGACGUUACCCGCAGAAGAAGCACCGGCUAACUCCGUGCCAGCAGCCGCGGUAAUACGGAGGGUGCAAGCGUUAAUCGGAAUUACUGGGCGUAAAGCGCACGCAGGCGGUUUGUUAAGUCAGAUGUGAAAUCCCCGGGCUCAACCUGGGAACUGCAUCUGAUACUGGCAAGCUUGAGUCUCGUAGAGGGGGGUAGAAUUCCAGGUGUAGCGGUGAAAUGCGUAGAGAUCUGGAGGAAUACCGGUGGCGAAGGCGGCCCCCUGGACGAAGACUGACGCUCAGGUGCGAAAGCGUGGGGAGCAAACAGGAUUAGAUACCCUGGUAGUCCACGCCGUAAACGAUGUCGACUUGGAGGUUGUGCCCUUGAGGCGUGGCUUCCGGAGCUAACGCGUUAAGUCGACCGCCUGGGGAGUACGGCCGCAAGGUUAAAACUCAAAUGAAUUGACGGGGGCCCGCACAAGCGGUGGAGCAUGUGGUUUAAUUCGAUGCAACGCGAAGAACCUUACCUGGUCUUGACAUCCACGGAAGUUUUCAGAGAUGAGAAUGUGCCUUCGGGAACCGUGAGACAGGUGCUGCAUGGCUGUCGUCAGCUCGUGUUGUGAAAUGUUGGGUUAAGUCCCGCAACGAGCGCAACCCUUAUCCUUUGUUGCCAGCGGUCCGGCCGGGAACUCAAAGGAGACUGCCAGUGAUAAACUGGAGGAAGGUGGGGAUGACGUCAAGUCAUCAUGGCCCUUACGACCAGGGCUACACACGUGCUACAAUGGCGCAUACAAAGAGAAGCGACCUCGCGAGAGCAAGCGGACCUCAUAAAGUGCGUCGUAGUCCGGAUUGGAGUCUGCAACUCGACUCCAUGAAGUCGGAAUCGCUAGUAAUCGUGGAUCAGAAUGCCACGGUGAAUACGUUCCCGGGCCUUGUACACACCGCCCGUCACACCAUGGGAGUGGGUUGCAAAAGAAGUAGGUAGCUUAACCUUCGGGAGGGCGCUUACCACUUUGUGAUUCAUGACUGGGGUGAAGUCGUAACAAGGUAACCGUAGGGGAACCUGCGGUUGGAUCACCUCCUUACCUUAAAGAAGC